UACGGGAGGCAGCAGUGGGGAAUAUUGCACAAUGGGCGCAAGCCUGAUGCAGCCAUGCCGCGUGUAUGAAGAAGGCCUUCGGGUUGUAAAGUACUUUCAGUCGUGAGGAAGGUGUUAAGGUUAAUAACCUUAGCAAUUGACGUUAGCGACAGAAGAAGCACCGGCUAACUCCGUGCCAGCAGCCGCGGUAAUACGGAGGGUGCGAGCGUUAAUCGGAAUUACUGGGCGUAAAGGGCACGCAGGCGGUUAAUUAAGUUGGAUGUGAAAUCCCCGGGCUUAACCUGGGAAUGGCAUUCAAGACUGGUUAGCUAGAGUCUUGUAGAGGGGGUAGAAUUCCAUGUGUAGCGGUGAAAUGCGUAGAGAUGUGGAGGAAUACCGGGUGGCGAAGGCGGCCCCUGGGACAAAGACUGACGCUCAUGUGCGAAAGCGUGGGGAGCAAACAGGAUUAGAUA
rnacentral:rRNA from 1 species